UACAGAGGUCCCAAGCGUUGUUCGGAUUCACUGGGCGUAAAGGGUGCGUAGGCGGUCGGGUAAGUCUGAUGUGAAAAUCUCACAGCUUAACUGUGAAACUGCAUUGGAUACUAUUCGGCUAGAGAGUUGGAGGGGGGACUGGAAUUCUUGGUGUAGCAGUGAAAUGCGUAGAUAUCAAGAGGAACACCAGUGGCGAAGGCGAGUCCCUGGACAACUUCUGACGCUGAGGAGCGAAAGCCAGGGGAGUAAACGGG
rnacentral:rRNA from 1 species